rnacentral:lncRNA from 1 species
UACUUGGAGCUCUACCUCGCUUUGAGCUCCCACUAGCUCCUGAAGUUCCACCUCAUACUAAGCUCCCUGCUAAGAGGUAAUGUCCUCCAUAUCUCUUUUCCUUCAAUACAAUCCUACGGCCAUGCAAAACCUUUAAGAUUCUAUCAUCAACUUUUCACCUGUAGCUGCUUGAAUCCAGUCUUGUCAUACCCCUAAUCCAAGAUUAUGAGCCG